rnacentral:lncRNA from 1 species
GUCGAAGACUGCUGUAUAGAUUUAUAUUAUAUUACUAAACUAUAUUAAAUGCACAGAUAAGGUCCUAAGCAAGGCUAUGAAAGGAAAAACAAGAAAAAGAGAAAGAGGUCCUACAAUAUUUGAUACCCUGUGUAAUGAUAAAGACACUGUGGCAGAGACUAGAAAAACAGGCAUAUACUCAAUACCAGUUUACAACAGGAAUGAGGAUAAGAUGCAAUACUACAUUGGAAGUACAAAAAGAAACCUCAAAAAAAAAAAAAAGAACACAUCGAGAGUAUACAAGCAGCAAAACUAGAUACGGCUCUAACCACUAUGGCAGGGAUUCCCAACCUUUUUUUCUAUGUUGACCCCUUUAAACUUUCUUCUCUUUCAAAAUAUCCCUAAUUUUUUUGUUGCAGCAUAUUAAUAAAGCGUAAUGUAGAACUG